GCCCGGAUAGUGUAGUGGCCUAUCAUGAAGGACUAUCAAUCCUUCGACCCGGGUUCAAAUCCCGGUCCGGGCGCCA
rnacentral:tRNA from 1 species